CCUACGGGAGGCAGCAGUGGGGAAUUUUGGACAAUGGGCGAAAGCCUGAUCCAGCCAUUCCGCGUGCAGGAUGAAGGCCCUCGGGUUGUAAACUGCUUUUGUACAGAACGAAAAGGUUUCUACUAAUACUAGGAGCUCAUGACGGUACUGUAAGAAUAAGCACCGGCUAACUACGUGCCAGCAGCCGCGGUAAUACGUAGGGUGCAAGCGUUAAUCGGAAUUACUGGGCGUAAAGCGUGCGCAGGCGGUUAUAUAAGUCAGAUGUGAAAUCCCCGGGCUCAACCUGGGAACUGCAUUUGAGACUGUAUAGCUAGAGUACGGUAGAGGGGGAUGGAAUUCCGCGUGUAGCAGUGAAAUGCGUAGAUAUGCGGAGGAACACCGAUGGCGAAGGCAAUCCCCUGGACCUGUACUGACGCUCAUGCACGAAAGCGUGGGGAGCAAACAGGAUUAGAUACCCUGGUAGUCCACGCCCUAAACGAUGUCAACUGGUUGUUGGGUCUUAACUGACUCAGUAACGAAGCUAACGCGUGAAGUUGACCGCCUGGGGAGUACGGCCGCAAGGUUGAAACGUUAAAGAGUAGUAGCGUGAGAGAGCGACGACGACGACGAGGAGGGAGGAGG
rnacentral:rRNA from 1 species